AUUUAUUUCUAAAAACAUUAGUGAAGAUAUUUUUAAUGGUAAUUUUUAUAUUAUUUAUUAUUAAUAUAUUAUGUAAUACCCUGCAGAAAGGAGAUAUAUGGGAUACACCUACACUUUUUCUCAACCUAAUUGAUAAGACAUUUCUCUUCAUCGUUGAAGUUCAAAUAUCUGAUAAUCCACAUUUUUCACCUUCUUAUAAAGUUAAGAAGAUGACUGAUAAUCCACAUUUUUCACUUUCUAUUAAAAAUUAGUUUAUUUUUCUCUUCUUUGGUCAUUAGUAGUAUCUAAUUUUUAAAUAAUAAUUAAUAACUAAUUAUAAUUUUAGGAUGUUGACUACAUCGAUGGUUUGCUUCCAAUUUCAAAGACAUCCUCAAUCAUUGAAGGGGAAAAAGUAGAAGGUGCUAAGAAUUUGUUACUUGAAUUCUCCAAUGAAGUUGCGGACAAUGAUGAAUCCGAAGUGUUGAAAAAUGCUAUUACACCAGCCAAGCGACUAUCCUCAGAG